CUCUGUCCAUGGGGAUUCUCCAGGCAAGAUUACUAGCGUGGGUUGCCAUGCCCUCCUCCAGGGGAUCUUCCUGACCCAGAAUCGAACCUGUGUCACCUGCAUUGACAGAGUGUUCAUUGUUGCUGCUGCUGCUGCUGCUAAGUCACUUCAGUCGUGUCUGACUCUGUGCGACCCCAUAGAUGGAAGCCCACCAGAUUCCCCCGUCCCUGGAAUUCUCCAGGACAUCCAGUACUAUGUUGAAUAGAAGUGGUGAAAGAAAUCAUCCUUGCCUUGUUCCUGAUCUUAGAAGUAAAGAUUUUCUUCCCAUUUAGGUUACUACAGAGCAUUGAGUAGAGCUUCCUGUGCUGUACAGUCUUACCUUCUCAAGAAAAUAAGGCUGAUUGUCUCAGAAGAAAACCAAGCAUGUGUCAUUGUUUCUAAGAGUGUAUCUCUUGUCAAAGUCAAUAAAACAGG
ensembl:lncRNA